UCGGAUGAGUCUUGUUUCAAGGUUUUUUAGAGUGGUUUGUUAGGUUGAACUUCGGUGGAGAGAUUGAUGUCUGGUUUUUCAUUGAUAUUUCAUUGUUAGUGUGGUGCGCUCGAUUCUUCAUCGUUUUAAGGUUCUUGUGGGGUUCUUCUCUUUAAAGCCUUGAAGUUACAAGUUUGAUUCCAUUUUGCUGUCGCCAGAUUGCCUCUGGUAGUGCAGCGGGCUUCGGUGGUCCCUGUCAUUUGCUCGGUUAUCAUUUAGGAUGGCUCUUGGGCUGGGACGGUGAUGGUUGCUUUCUUUGCUGCAGGAGGAUUCUCUUGCUUUUGCUGGCUUCGAGUGCCCAUACUGUUCUUCGAGGAAGUGUGGAAGGAUUUUCAGCAAGUAUGUGUCUCUUUCCUAGUGAUGUGCCUUCGGUCAAGUUCAGGGUGUUGUUGUGGUCUGUUCCAGUGCUUGGUUCAUUCCUUUGGUUUUGUUGUAUGUGUAUUUCGUAGUGUGACCUAUUUUCUUAUUGUUGGUUGUCUGUGUUAGCUUUUUUAUGUGUUGGUUUGGUGAUUGUGGUAAUGUGUGGGUAUGUUCUGAAUGAUGUUACUAUUCUGUGUAUUUGUUCUCUACCACAAGGUACACUCUUUUUUCUC